rnacentral:rRNA from 1 species
UACGUAGGGUGCAAGCGUUAAUCGGAAUUACUGGGCGUAAAGCGUGCGCAGGCGGUUAUGUAAGACAGGUGUGAAAUCCCCGGGCUUAACCUGGGAACUGCAUUUGUGACUGCAUAGCUAGAGUACGGUAGAGGGGGAUGGAAUUCCGCGUGUAGCAGUGAAAUGCGUAGAUAUGCGGAGGAACACCGAUGGCAAAGGCAAUCCCCUGGACCUGUACUGACGCUCAUGCACGAAAGCGUGGGGAGCAAACAGG